rnacentral:misc_RNA from 1 species
UACGGAGGGUGCAAGCGUUAUCCGGAAUCAUUGGGCGUAAAGCGUCCGCAGGCUGUUUAUUAAGUCAGAUAUUAAAGACCGAGGCCCAACUUCGGUUCAAUGUCUGAAACUGGUAAACUAGAGGGUUUCAGAGGCAUAUGGAAUUCUGUGUGUAGGGGUAAAAUCCGUUGAUACAUAGAGGAACACCAAAAGCGAAGGCAGUAUGCUGGGAAACUCCUGACGCUCAGGGACGAAAGCGUGGGUAGCGAACGGG